UACAGAGGUCUCAAGCGUUGUUCGGAUUCAUUGGGCGUAAAGGGUGCGUAGGCGGGUCUUUGAGUCAGGGGUGAAAUCCUGGAGCUCAACUCCAGAACUGCCUUUGAUACUGAAGAUCUUGAGUUCGGGAGAGGUGAGUGGAACUGCGAGUGUAGAGGUGAAAUUCGUAGAUAUUCGCAAGAACACCAGUGGCGAAGGCGGCUCACUGGCCCGAUACUGACGCUGAGGCACGAAAGCGUGGGGAGCAAACAGG
rnacentral:rRNA from 1 species